rnacentral:misc_RNA from 1 species
GAUGAAGAACGUAGCGAAAUGCGAUAAGUAGUGUGAAUUGCAGAAUUCAGUGAAUCAUCGAAUCUUUGAACGCACAUUGCGCCCCUUGGUAUCCCGAGGGGCAUGCCUGUUCGAGCGUCAUUUCACCACUCAAGCCUGGCUUGGUGUUGGGCGACGUCCCCUUUGGGGACGCGCCUCGAAACGCUCGGCGGCGUGGCACCGGCUUUAAGCGUAGCAGAAUCUUUCGCUUUGAAAGUCGGGGCCCCGUCUGCCGGAAGACCUACUCGCAAGGUUGACCUCGGAUCAGGCAGGGAUACCCGCUGAACUUAAGCAUAUCAAUAAGCGGAGGA